GGAUUAUAGACUUAAACGGUAUUUUUGAAAAAGAUGGACUAUAAUCCACUGUUAUCAAAGAGGCGCGCUUCAAGUGCAAGGCCCACCAGGCGCAGCCCCAAGUGCCUCGGGACAGGCAAGGCACACUACCUCACAGAGGCGCACCGAGUUAAGGCGCUGGAUAUAUAUAAGCUAAGUUUUUUUUUAAGGCUUGUCCUGACCAGCAGCUAGCAAAAAGGAAAAAAAGAA
rnacentral:misc_RNA from 1 species